rnacentral:rRNA from 1 species
GGGGAUAUUGCACAAUGGAGGAAACUCUGAUGCAGCGACGCCGCGUGAGGGAAGAAGGUCUUCGGAUUGUAAACCUCUGUCUUUGGGGACGAAGAAAGUGACGGUACCCAAAGAGGAAGCCACGGCUAACUACGUGCCAGCAGCCGCGGUAAUACGUAGGUGGCGAGCGUUGUCCGGAAUUACUGGGUGUAAAGGGUGCGUAGGCGGACUGGCAAGUUGGAUGUGAAAUCUCCGCGCUUAACGUGGAGGUUGCAUUCAAAACUGUUGGUCUUGAGUGAGGCAGAGGCAGGCCGAAUUCCCGGUGUGGCGGUGAAAUGCGUAGAGAUCCGGAGGAACACCAGUGGCGAAGGCGGCCUGCUGGGCCUUAACUGACGCUGAGGCACGAAAGCAUGGGUAGCAAACA